CGGGUGAGUAACACGUAGGUGACCUACCUAGUAGUGGGGGAUAACAGGGAGAAGUUCCUGCUAAUACCGCAUGAGUUGAGCAAAUUUGGAAAUAGCUCAAGAAAGACAGCCUCUUUACAAUGCUGUUGCUACAUGAUGGGCCUGCGCACCAUUAGCUUGUUGGUGGGGUAAUGGCCUACCAAGGCAAUGAUGGUUAGCCGGUCUGAGAGGAUGAUCGGCCACACUGGAACUGAGACACGGUCCAGACUCC
rnacentral:rRNA from 1 species